GAUGAACGCUGGCGGCGUGCCUAAUACAUGCAAGUCGAGCGAACAGACGAGGAGCUUGCUCCUCUGACGUUAGCGGCGGACGGGUGAGUAACACGUGUAUAACCUACCUAUAAGACUGGGAUAACUUCGGGAAACCGGAGCUAAUACCGGAUAAUAUAUUGAACCGCAUGGUUCAAUAGUGAAAGACGGUUUUGCUGUCACUUAUAGAUGGAUCCGCGCCGCAUUAGCUAGUUGGUAAGGUAACGGCUUACCAAGGCAACGAUGCGUAGCCGACCUGAGAGGGUGAUAGGCCACACGGGAACUGAGACACGGACCAGACUCCUACGGGAGGCAGCAGUAGGGAAUCUGCCGCAAUGGGCGAAAGCUUGACGGAGCAACGCCGCGUGAGUGAUGAAGGUCUUCGGAUCGUAAAACUCUGUUAUUAGGGAAGAACAAAUGUGUAAGUAACUAUGCACGUCUUGACGGUACCUAAUCAGAAAGCCACGGCUAACUACGUG
rnacentral:rRNA from 1 species